rnacentral:rRNA from 1 species
GGGGAAUAUUGGACAAUGGGCGCAAGCCUGAUCCAGCAAUGCCGCGUGUGUGAAGAAGGCCUUCGGGUUGUAAAGCACUUUUGGCAGGGAGGAAGUUGUGAAGUUUAAGAGAUGUCACAAUUGACUGUACCUGCAGAAUAAGCACCGGCUAACUCUGUGCCAGCAGCCGCGGUAAUACAGAGGGUGCAAGCGUUAAUCGGAGUUACUGGGCGUAAAGGGCGCGUAGGCGGUUAUAUAAGUGAGAUGUGAAAUCCCUGGGCUUAACCUAGGAACUGCAUCUCAUACUGUAUAACUGGAGUAUUGUAGAGGGUAGUGGAAUUUCCGGUGUAGCGGUGAAAUGCGUAGAGAUCGGAAGGAACACCAGUGGCGAAGGCGGCUACCUGGACAAAUACUGACGCUGAGGCGCGAGAGCGUGGGGAGCGAAC